rnacentral:rRNA from 1 species
UUCUAUUAGAAAUAAUUAAUAGUAUAAUCUGCUCAAUGAUAUUAAAUAGCCGCUUAUAUUGUGCUAAGGUAGCAUAAUCAUUUGUCUUUUAAUUAAAGACUAGAACAAAAGAUUAAACAAUUUAAUUAAUAUAUAAUUUAUUAAUAAUUUUAAUUUAUUUUAAAAGUAAAAAAACUUUUAUAUUUGAGAAAGACGACAAGACCCUUUUAAACUUAACUUAAGUUAAACUGGGGCAGUUAAUUAAUUAUCAUUUUAAUAAUAAUAAAAACAUAAAUGAUCUUAUAAAAUAAAUUAAUUGACCAAGUUACUAUAGGGAUAACAGCGUAAUAUAAAUUUAAAGAUCUUAUAUAAAUAAAUGUUUGCGACCUCGAUGUUGAAUAAUAACCUAAAUUGUUGCAAUAAACAAAUAAAGGAAGUCUGUUCGACUUUUAAAAAAUUACA